UGGGGGAUAUUGCGCAAUGGGCGAAAGCCUGACGCAGCGACGCCGCGUGGGUGAUGAAGGCCUUCGGGUCGUAAAGCCCUGUCGAGGGGGACGAAUCGGUUGCGACCUAACACGUCGUGAUCCUGACGGUACCCCUAAAGGAAGCACCGGCUAACUCCGUGCCAGCAGCCGCGGUAAUACGGAGGGUGCUAGCGUUGUUCGGAAUCACUGGGCGUAAAGCGCGUGUAGGCGGCCCACUAAGUCUGAUGUGAAAGCCCGGGGCUCACCCCCGGAAGUGCAUUGGAAACUGGUGGACUCGAGUCCCGGAGAGGAGAGUGGAAUUCCUGGUGUAGCGGUGAAAUGCGUAGAUAUCAGGAGGAACACCGGUGGCGAAGGCGGCUCUCUGGACGGUGACUGACGCUGAGACGCGAAAGCGUGGGGAGCAAACAGGAUUAGAUACCCCCGUAGUCC
rnacentral:rRNA from 1 species